AGAGGAGGAGAGCGCCGAGAGAGGGACACCGGAGACACUUCAUCCAUUCAGCAGUGGUUCAACACCGGACCGCCGUGUAGGAGGUCGAGUUUGUCCUGCUCUGCCGGUCAUCGUCAGCCUGUGAGGAGGACUCGUCUCACGGUCAGGCUGCUCUCUAGCUGCUCCUGCUACAUGGCCAGCUAGCACAAUAAAGCUAACUGUUAGCUUCUGGAGCAGCUUCACACCCAGGAGCCCGGCGGAGAGGAGAGCCGAGGAGGGGGAUGGAAAGAGCUGGAGCCGAUAAACCUUUCAGGAGAAGCAACGACUAACCAGACUAAACCAGCCCAGAUUUGUUUACUUGUUUAAAUCAACGGUUGUUGGUGUAACUGCAAUCUCCACCAUGGUGCAGAAGUACCAGUCACCUGUGCAGGUGUACAAGUAUCCCUUUGAGCUGGUGAUGGCGUUGUACUUCCGGGUCGACUGUCAUGGCGGCGCCCUGGUGGAGCAGAAGGUAGAGCCUGAACCGCCACAGAGACACCAGAGACUACAGAGACCACAGAGACUACAGAGACCACAGAGACAGCAGCCGGCAUGCCGUUCAGAGACCUGCUGAAGUGGAACACCAGGGUGUCUGCGGUCUACGCCGUCGGGAUCUGGACCAUGGUCGGGUCCUACGCGCUGGUCCGGUUCUCACGUCGACACGAGGAGCCGCCAGUCAAAAAAGAAGAAGAGUUUCAAGAGCCAGAAGAUCCAAAUCAGGUCGUCCACCUAACGGCUCACUCCAAAACCGUCAUCGUCUACAGGAAAGACUUUGUCCCGUACAGCACAAGGAUCUACAACUUCCUCCGGUCCUUCAGCGGGGGACCUGAGAGAGGAGACGGGGACAAAUGACCACGGACACUGGGCUUGUCAAGAGCACGUUCUCAGAAUGCACUAUGAAUUUAUGCUUUCGUGUGAGGAUACUCUCUUUAUUUGUGAAAGAAAUUCCAGCACACUCUGCAGGUCUGAGGCAGCAGCCAUGGUGUUUGGUGAUGUCUGAGCCCAGAUAUAUAUUUUAUUAUUUAUUUGCCAACAAUAUUCAGUAAUGUUACUGUCCGCGCCUGUCCACAAUACAACGGUGUAUGAAUGAACCUCAUCUGUUAAUUGUUUGAGGCAGAAGGUGUCGUGCUAUUUGAAUAUGUAUGAUUGUUUUACAGAGCUUGUCAUUAUCUUGAUUGAUGACUGAGAUGAGCACUACCUUUGUGAAGCUUUAAACGGUUGAUGUGCAUAAGAGAGCUGCUGAUAAGUGUUACUAAUAACAUUAAAGGUGUUUUUAGGGUUAACUCUAACAUUACUAAUAACAUUAGAGGUGUUUUUAGGGUUAACUCUAACAUUACUAAUAACAUUAGAGAUGUUUUUAGGGUUAACGCU